GGAGGAUUGGAGUGUAGAGUGAUUUUGGAGACCUGAGAACUGGAGUAAGGGAGACCCUGUCCCCCUGCCCCAGCAUUUAAGGACUGAGGAUAACCCCACCGAAGGGGGAUGAGGAAAAAAAAAAUAGUGCCUGCAUUAUAGCAAGAGCCAGCAACUGUACAGCUGCAAAGGUGGUCAUUUUCCACAGAAGAGGAUGACUUGAGCCAGAAUUUGGCUUGUUGUGACUACCUUGCAUAAAUAAGGAAAUCAAGAUUUAACCAACAGUGGAACAUUGCUGACAUAAUUAAUCAAUCAUACCUUAUAUGACUUGUACAUACAAUAACAAAACACAACAGUGGGAUCAGGCCCGUAUUGGGUGUAAAUCAAUGUACAUUGGGAUGAAGUGGGCAGUGAUGCUGCCCACCAGCAUGAAAGAGUGCUAGCUGCCUCCCUACCUGAGGGGAAGGGUCACUAGCAUGCCAGCCAAGGCAGGCACCAAUGAACAAGCUCGGUGUCCCUUGCCAGAAGAGACUAAGAAAGGGGCUUAGGAGUACCCAGCUUAAGACAAGACCAAGUGACCAAAGCCCAGAAACCUUGUGUGGGGUCCAACCCCACCAAACAUACAGCUGCCCUGCCUGGAGAAACCAGGGACUAGAGAAGGAUGCCACCCAGGGUCUGCGAUGGGGCACUACUAGAGAGAAGCUACUACUACAAAUUGAACUACGGGACCCAUGCCCUAAACUGAAGAGACUGCAGCAGGAAGCAGCCCAGGGCAGUGGACUUUCCACUGGCAGGCCCCCUACUCAGAGAUUGACUGACAUAGGCCCCUAGUCUGGGACCUGGUGUAGUAGGAGGGCCAGGUCACCCUACCUCUCCCCAGCCUUAAAGACUGACACACCUUGACCAAGUAGGAAGCUGGGAAAAAAGCACUCCAAUCACUAAGCUGCCCAACCUUCCUAACCCCCCCGUUACAUACCUCCACUGACUACAAGACAGCUACACCAAUUUACACCAUCUGUGAAUCUGGCCCAAUAUGCAAAUUGGCAAACUGAGCCACAGUGCCCACCUCUUCUGUAUAUUUGUGACAGAUUAAGAUAUUUACCAAAAGAUGAAAGCCUUUAAUAUUUCAGUCCUUUAAUAGGUUUCAUAAGCAAGAAUUUGCCAACAUGUACAGAUCAGCAUUAUUUUGUAUAUUUUGCACAGAUGUUCAUAAAAUUAAUGUAAUCUUUUAUAAUUGCACUUAUCAUUUGGCCAUACACAGAAUACUGACUUUAAUUACAAAACUCGUGUGCAUACUGAUGAAGGUUCCUUUAUUGCUAUAUGAGUACAAGCUAUAGCCUUUAGAAUAUUGGCAAAUCCUGCAGUAUGAUUAAAUCCUUCUAUUCUAUGCAGAUAGUUUUGGGAAACAGGAAAAUUAACAUACAUAGAAGAAGAAUUCUAUAUUUAUGCAAGAGCAGCUAAAAGCUGGUUGGAAGCACCUUGACAGAGAAAUCUUGGCUUAUUGCAACAACAUCCCAAAAUGCCUUUGUUAGGUGCCAGCUGGAAGCUUGACAUGAACAAGUCAAGCAUAACACACUGGCUACUAGAUGACUUAAGGUCAUAUUUUAAAGUCAGAAUAUUCUGUCUAAAUGAUAACAUAUAUUUCCAUCUGAUCUCCAAUUUUAAAACAUCCACAAUGAAUAAGCCACCAAUUGUUACACAGACAAUCUUUCCACAUCAAAAAGACAAGCUGUUGCAAAGGUUAUUUGUGGAGAAUUCCUCAUAACGCUAAAGGGUUCAUAGUUUAUUUUUGUCUUUCAGGCUAAAUUCUGUUUGCAAUCCUUUUGUUCUGGAGUUACAAUAGGAAGGUUCCAUGUGAAGGUUUGAAUACUUCAGAACUUCAGGGUAUGUUCUGACCCAUUGACAGCUUACUAUCAUUCACAGAAGCACCACUUUUCAAAAAUUGUAAUUGUAUUAUUUGCUUCAGAAUGCUGUCUGCUGGUGGGCCUGCAGGUAUUUUGGGAAUGCUCAGUGAUAAGAUGGGGUUUUUGAAAUACCUGCUUCUCUCCUUUACUGAUUCACUAGCAAAACCAGUCAUUAGUAUUGACUGGUUUGCUUGAAAUUGUCCACAUGAUAGGUUUAUUAUUACUCAUGACUUUAAAAGAUUAGAAACUUUUUGAAAAUGAAUGUGGCUAUUAAGUACAGCAAAUAUUCAAAAUAUUGAUUUUUCAGCGCACAUGUGGUGAUCACAUAUAUUAGGUUAUUAGACUGGUCCUAUUAAAAAUUAUCCCUUUAUAUUUCCUCCACUGUCUGGAAUUUUUAUUGUGUCCUUCAGUUCAGGUCUCUUGCACACAUUUUAAAGAUCUGUCAUUGUACUUGCAAACUUUAGAAGACUAGAAGUUUCCAUUGAUGCUCUAGAUAUAAAAGACUAUCUUAGGCUCAAUUGUAGUGAGGAGGAGGAAUUUUUUAAUACUUCGUAGUAGAAUCAAACUCUGACUAGCUACUUUUCAUAUCUUUGACACAUCUCUAAUUCAAACACAACCAUUAUAAAAGAAAUUUCUUUCUACUAC